rnacentral:rRNA from 1 species
GUGGGGAAUCUUAGACAAUGGGCGCAAGCCUGAUCUAGCCAUGCCGCGUGAGCGAUGAAGGCCUUAGGGUUGUAAAGCUCUUUCGCUGGGGAAGAUAAUGACUGUACCCAGUAAAGAAGCCCCGGCUAACUCCGUGCCAGCAGCCGCGGUAAUACGGAGGGGGCUAGCGUUGUUCGGAAUUACUGGGCGUAAAGCGCGCGUAGGCGGAUUGGAAAGUUGGGGGUGAAAUCCCGGGGCGCAACCUCGGAACUGCCUUCAAAACUCCCAGUCUUGAGUUCGAGAGAGGUGAGUGGAAUUCCGAGUGUAGAGGUGAAAUUCGUAGAUAUUCGGAGGAACACCAGUGGCGAAGGCGGCUCACUGGCUCGAUACUGACGCUGAGGUGCGAAAGCGUGGGGAGCAAACAGGAUUAGAUACCCGAGUAGUCC